CCCUGGGGCUUCAUGGUCACCCCCUACACAUAUGGCCCUGAUGGGUCCCCAGCCCUGCCUGGGUGGUGCUGAGCCCAUGUCGGCCUCCCAGGAGCCCAGGCUGGCUGAGCUGCAGGAAAAUCCGUGUCAUCCCUGCACUGACAUUGGCCACAGAGAGAGGCAGGACAGCUGUCACUGAACCUGCAGGAAGCAGGUGAGUGAGGCACAGGAGUCCCGGCCGCGAUGGGGGUGUGGGGGGCACUGGCAGCUGCAGCAGGCCAGGCUGAGACUUCCUGGGGCUGGUGGACCACUCACUUCCUUGGUGGGGAUGGAGGCAGGUGGACCCACGUGGACCAUAUCCUACUGCACUUGCCCGGCCCUGUACGUGCCCCUCCUCACAGCCACCCAUCUUACAGAAGGGGAAACUGAGACUGUGAUUCACUCAGGUCCACGCAAGGUUUCUUCUCCCACCAUUCAGCUCGGAGCCGAGCUCUGGGCUCUGCAGCAAACGGGACAGGCUGGGCCAGCUCCCCUCCCUGGUUCUCCUCCUCUCAGCCCCUGGACUCAGGCCCAGGCUGUCCUCUUGUGGAAACCAAAACUGUGGAUUCAGGAAUGCGGGUCCGCCUGCCCCGAGCUGGAAAUGCGGGUCCACCUGCCCCGAGCUGGGAAUGCGGGUCCACCUGCCCCGAGCUGGGAAUGCGGGUCCACCUGCUUGCCCUGAGCUGGGAGUGCGGGUCCACCUGCCCCAUGCUGGUAAAGGAGCUUUGCUCCCUGGCUUUGGGUUGAGGCCAUGUCGGGAGUGCCCUCUGCUGGCCGGUCUGUUCCUCACGGGGCCCUGAGAGGGCUCCCGUGGGGAGGGAUCAGCAGGGCAUCCCCCCACCCUGGGGAGACCACCAACCUCUGUCCUGGUGGAGAGGGAGGAACAGAGCAGAGGCCAGAACAGGGGAGAAGUUGGUUUUAAAGCAGAGGUUUCGGCCGGGCGCGGUGGCUCACGCCUGUAAUCCCAGCACUUUGGGAGGCUGAGGAGGGUGGAUCACUUGAGCCCAGGAGCUCGAGACCAGCCUGGGCAACAUGGUGAAAUCCCGUCUCUACUAAAAACAAAAAUUAGCUGGGCGUGGUGGCUCAUGCCUGUAAUCCCAGCACUU
rnacentral:lncRNA from 10 species